GUAGCUAAGUGAUGGGGUGACGCAGUGAGGUAGCAUGAGCCACUUAUUGGAUUGUGGUGUAAGCGUGUGGAACGAGGUAUUGGUAAAUCCGUACCUUUUAUGUUCGAGGCGUGAUGCGUAGCCCGUAAAGGGUGAAUUCUGUGAUCCUGUACUGUCGAGAAAAGCCUCUAGCGAUGUGCAUAUUCGGCCCGUACCCUAAACCGACACAGGUAGUCAGGUAGAGAAUACUAAGGCGUUCGGGUGAACUGUGGUUAAGGAACUCGGCAAAAUGCCCCCGUAACUUCGGGAGAAGGGGGGCCUACACUGGUGAUUCACUUUGCGUGUUUGAGCUGGUGUGGGUCGCAGAGAAUAGAGG
rnacentral:rRNA from 1 species